GUGCAGUAAGAGGUUGUGCUGCUCUAUAUAGAUUAUGUCUGCCUUUGCUGUUACUUGUCCAAAUUCAGAUAACAACAGUCUGUCAGGGGAUGAGCCAAUGAAGGAAGCUCCAAUGCAGUGGUUCUCAAAAUGGAGUCUGUGGUGCCCGAGGAGACUACGAAAGGACACUGAAGUAUCAUGAAAACAGGAUGACUUGAGACAGUAAACUGAUAUCUGACUGUCCAACAAAGACUUCAAAAGUAACAAGCAGUGACUUCUCUUGAAAACGCCAAAAUCUGGCAUUGAGGUGCUAUCAAGUACCUGCAGAAAAACAGUUUAGCUCUCAGUGACAUUCACACUGAAAUAAUCGUUACAUUAGGGAUGAUGCCCCAACUUUAUCAACAGUGCAAAAGUGGGGAUAGUCAAGAGAAGAAGGCAUUUUGCCAUAUAUCAUCUUGUUUAGGGUUGACCACACACAAAAUAAUAACAAGAUCAUCAAAGUCUUGACAUUGUGGGAGUCUUCACAGGGUCACUAUCUGCUGGAAGAAAUAGCAGUCUUAAAAAAAGGAAGGAUGAAUUAGAUAAUGUGUCUGAAUACAGGUAAAACUUUGAUCAAUAGGUCUGACUGAUCAGGACUGAUUUGAGGCUAAACAACUAACAGCAAGGCAUGGACAAAACUAUGAGAAGCAUUAAAAAUAUGAGUUUAUUGCUAAUAGAGUCUCAGCUAUGAUUAUAAAUGUACAACACAUACACACACAUACA